AUUGAACGCUGGCGGCAUGCCUUACACAUGCAAGUCGAACGGUAACGGGCCUUCGGGUGCCGCCGAGUGGCGAACGGGUGAGUAAUACAUCGGAACGUGCCCGAUCGUGGGGGAUAACGAGGCGAAAGCUUUGCUAAUACCGCAUACGAUCUACGGAUGAAAGCAGGGGACCGCAAGGCCUUGCGCGGACGGAGCGGCCGAUGGCAGAUUAGGUAGUUGGUGGGAUAAAAGCUUACCAAGCCGACGAUCUGUAGCUGGUCUGAGAGGAUGAUCAGCAACACUGGGACUGAGACACGGCCCAGACUCCUACGGGAGGCAGCAGUGGGGAAUUUUGGACAAUGGGCGCAAGCCUGAUCCAGCCAUGCCGCGUGCAGGAUGAAGGCCUUCGGGUUGUAAACUGCUUUUGUACGGAACGAAAAGCCUUCUUUUAAUACAGGAGGGUCAUGACGGUACCGUAAGAAUAAGCACCGGCUAACUACGUG
rnacentral:rRNA from 1 species